rnacentral:rRNA from 1 species
GAUGAACGCUAGCGGGAGGCCUAACACAUGCAAGCCGAGCGGUAGAGAUCUUUCGGGAUCUUGAGAGCGGCGUACGGGUGCGGAACACGUGUGCAACCUGCCUUUAUCUGGGGGAUAGCCUUUCGAAAGGAAGAUUAAUACCCCAUAAUAUACUGAAUGGCAUCAUUCGGUAUUGAAAACUCUGGUGGAUAGAGAUGGGCACGCGCAAGAUUAGAUAGUUGGUGAGGUAACGGCUCACCAAGUCUACGAUCUUUAGGGGGCCUGAGAGGGUGAUCCCCCACACUGGUACUGAGACACGGACCAGACUCCUACGGGAGGCAGCAGUGAGGAAUAUUGGACAAUGGGUGAGAGCCUGAUCCAGCCAUCCCGCGUGAAGGACGACGGCCCUAUGGGUUGUAAACUUCUUUUGUAUAGGGAUAAACCUACCCUCGUGAGGGUAGCUAAAGGUACUAUACGAAUAAGCACCGGCUAACUCCGUGCCAGCAGCCGCGGUAAUACGGAGGGUGCAAGCGUUAUCCGGAUUUAUUGGGUUUAAAGGGUCCGUAGGCGGAUCUGUAAGUCAGUGGUGAAAUCUCACAGCUUAACUGUGAAACUGCCAUUGAUACUGCAGGUCUUGAGUGUUGUUGAAGUAGCUGGAAUAANUAGUGNAGCGGUGAAAUGCAUAGAUAUUACUUANAACACCAAUUGCGAAGGCAGGUUACUAAGC